rnacentral:rRNA from 1 species
GAUGAACGCUGGCGGCGUGCCUAAUACAUGCAAGUCGAGCGAACAGAUGAGGAGUUUGCUCCUCUGACGUUAGCGGCGGACGGGUGAGUAACACGUGGAUAACCUACCUAUAAGACUGGGAUAACUUCGGGAAACCGGAGCUAAUACCGGAUAAUAUAUUGAACCGCAUGGUUCAAUAGUGAAAGACGGUUUUGCUGUCACUUAUAGAUGGAUCCGCGCCGCAUUAGCUAGUUGGUAAGGUAACGGCUUACCAAGGCAACGAUGCGUAGCCGACCUGAGAGGGUGAUCGGCCACACUGGAACUGAGACACGGUCCAGACUCCUACGGGAGGCAGCAGUAGGGAAUCUUCCGCAAUGGGCGAAAGCCUGACGGAGCAACGCCGCGUGAGUGAUGAAGGUCUUCGGAUCGUAAAACUCUGUUAUUGGGGAAGAACAAAUGUGUAAGUAACUAUGCACGUCUUGACGGUACCUAAUCAGAAAGCCACGGCUAACUACGUG